rnacentral:RNase_P_RNA from 1 species
GGAGACAACGAGGUGAUCGCCGGUGGUUCUGGCGCAAGCUGGGCCACGGGAGGAAAGUCCGAGCUUCACAGGGCAGGGUGCUGGCUAACGGCCAGUCGAGGUGACUCGCAGGAAAGUGCAACAGAAAGCAAACCGCCUGUUCGCAGGUAAGGGUGAAAAGGUGCGGUAAGAGCGCACCGCUUCGCCGGUGACGGCGAAGGCUAGGGAAACCCCACCCGAAGCAAGACCAGACAGAGAUCUCGCGGCCCGCGUCAUGAUCUCGGGUUGGUCGCUGGAGCCCGACGGUAACGGCGGGCCUAGAUGAAUGAUCACCACCCGCAAGGGAACAGAACUCGGCUUAUCAGAAUCUCCGACG